GGCUAUCCGUCGGGGGGCCCAUCUGGGCUGAGAGGUGCGCGCACUGACCCGUCGAACCUGAUCCGGACAAUGCCGGCGUAGGGAACGGGUCGGGCACGCUU
rnacentral:ncRNA from 2 species